AUGCAUACCAAAACCCAAUUCACCAAUUUACCCACCAAGUUCAAAAUAAACAAAAAAAUCGAACCUUUCCAACAACAGUAUCUCAAAUCUCAAAACAAAAACCAAAUUAUCACAAAAAAAAAAAGGGUCGUGAAAAAGAAAAAUCACCGAAAUGAAGAAAUUGAAACUACCGAUCUAGACACAGAGAAUGAACAAGCUAUAAGAAAUAGCGAAAUUCAACAAAAAAAAUAA